AGCAGCCGCGGUAAUUCCAGCUCCAAUAGCGUAUAUUAAAGUUGUUGCAGUUAAAAAGCUCGUAGUUGAAUUUCGGGAUCAAUACGUCGGUCGUGCUUCGGUACGUACUGGCGUCAUUGAUUUCUCCCUUCUGACGAACCAUGAUGUCAUUAACUUGGUGUCAUGGGAAAUCAGGACUGUUACUUUGAAAAAAUUAGAGUGUUUAAAGCAGGCUAACGCUUGAAUACAUUAGCAUGGAAUAAUGAAAUAGGACGUUCGACCCUAUUUUGUUGGUUUCUAGGAUCGACGUAAUGAUUAAUAGGGAUAGUUGGGGGCAUUAGUAUUCAAUUGUCAGAGGUGAAAUUCUUGGAUUUAUUGAAGACUAACUACUGCGAAAGCAUUUGCCAAGGAUGUUUUCAUUAAUCAAGAACGAAAGUUAGGGGAUCGAAGACGAUCAGAUACCGUCGUAGUCUUAACCAUAAACUAUGCCGACUAGGGAUCGGAUGAUGUUAAUUUUUAAUGACUCAUUCGGCGCCUUAC
rnacentral:rRNA from 1 species